GUGGGGAAUAUUGGACAAUGGGCGAAAGCCUGAUCCAGCCAUGCCGCGUGUGUGAAGAAGGUCUUCGGAUUGUAAAGCACUUUAAGUUGGGAGGAAGGGCAGUAAGUUAAUACCUUGCUGUUUUGACGUUACCGACAGAAUAAGCACCGGCUAACUUCGUGCCAGCAGCCGCGGUAAUACGUAGGGGGCAAGCGUUGUCCGGAAUGAUUGGGCGUAAAGGGCGCGUAGGCGGCCUGGUAAGUCUGGAGUGAAAGUCCUGCUUUUAAGGUGGGAAUUGCUUUGGAUACUGUCGGGCUUGAGUGCAGGAGAGGUAAGUGGAAUUCCCGGUGUAGCGGUGAAAUGCGUAGAGUUCGGGAGGAACACCAGUGGCGAAGGCGACUUACUGGACUGUAACUGACGCUGAGGCGCGAAAGUGUGGGGAGCAAACAGGAUUAGAAACCCCGGUAGUCC
rnacentral:rRNA from 1 species